GAUGAACGCUGGCGGCGUGCUUAACACAUGCAAGUCGAACGGUGAAGCAGGAGCUUGCUCCUGUGGAUCAGCGGCGAACGGGUGAGUAACACGUGAGCAAUCUGCCCCGAACUCUGGGAUAAGCGCUGGAAACGGCGUCUAAUACCGGAUACGACGCGCGACGGCAUCGUCUGCGCGUGGAAAGAACUUCGGUUCGGGAUGAGCUCGCGGCCUAUCAGCUUGUUGGUGAGGUAAUGGCUCACCAAGGCGACGACGGGUAGCCGGCCUGAGAGGGUGACCGGCCACACUGGGACUGAGACACGGCCCAGACUCCUACGGGAGGCAGCAGUGGGGAAUAUUGCACAAUGGGCGCAAGCCUGAUGCAGCAACGCCGCGUGAGGGACGACGGCCUUCGGGUUGUAAACCUCUUUUAGUAGGGAAGAAGCGAAAGUGACGGUACCUGCAGAAAAAGCACCGGCUAACUACGUGCCAGCCGCCGCAGUAAAAC
rnacentral:rRNA from 1 species